GACGAACGCUGGCGGCGCGCCUAACACAUGCAAGUCGAACGAGCGAGAGAGAGCUUGCUUUCUCAAGCGAGUGGCGAACGGGUGAGUAACGCGUGAGGAACCUGCCUCAAAGAGGGGGACAACAGUUGGAAACGACUGCUAAUACCGCAUAAGCCCACAGGUCGGCAUCGACCAGAGGGAAAAGGAGCAAUCCGCUUUGAGAUGGCCUCGCGUCCGAUUAGCUAGUUGGUGAGGUAACGGCCCACCAAGGCAACGAUCGGUAGCCGGACUGAGAGGUUGAACGGCCACAUUGGGACUGAGACACGGCCCAGACUCCUACGGGAGGCAGCAGUGGGGAAUAUUGCACAAUGGGGGAAACCCUGAUGCAGCGACGCCGCGUGGAGGAAGAAGGUCUUCGGAUUGUAAACUCCUGUUGUUGAGGAAGAUAAUGACGGUACUCAACAAGGAAGUGACGGCUAACUACGUG
rnacentral:rRNA from 1 species